CCUACGGGAGGCAGCAGUGAGGAAUAUUGGUCAAUGGGCGCGAGCCUGAACCAGCCAAGUAGCGUGAAGGAUGACUGCCCUACGGGUUGUAAACUUCUUUUAUAAAGGAAUAAAGUGAGGCACGUGUGCCUUUUUGUAUGUACUUUAUGAAUAAGGAUCGGCUAACUCCGUGCCAGCAGCCGCGGUAAUACGGAGGAUCCGAGCGUUAUCCGGAUUUAUUGGGUUUAAAGGGAGCGUAGAUGGGUUGUUAAGUCAGUUGUGAAAGUUUGCGGCUCAACCGUAAAAGUGCAAUUGAUACUGGCUGUCUUGAGUACAGGUGAGGUAGGCGGAAUUCGUGGUGUAGCGGUGAAAUGCUUAGAUAUCACGAAGAACUCCGAUUGCGAAGGCAGCUUACUAAACUGCCACUGACAGUGAGGCUCGAAAGUGUGGGUAUCAAACAGGAUUAGAUACCCGAGUAGUC
rnacentral:rRNA from 1 species